AAAGCCUCAAUUUAAAUCAUCAGUUUUAAUCAAUUUUUCUAUUGUACUUCAGUUAUUUUCUAAAGAAAGAUGCAUUCUCAUUGUCUUUCUCAUUUAAAAC